GCAGUUUACGCACUGCAGAGGAGACAGACGAGCUGCAGAGAAGCACGGUCGGGUUUUGGUCUCCGGCAUUUCCAAAAACAUUUCUACUUUUUUUACUUUGAUUUUUUUGGAGCUGAAGGAAGAUUUUUGAGAACGUAACCUCACGCACAGCUCAGGGCCGCAGUGCCUGCUGUUUUUGUGAGCUUUUCUGUGUGUUUUUUGUCGGUCAAGGAAUCCUGCUUGAAAUAAAAAAAAAAUCACCAGUGACCAUGAUCACAAGACGAAGAGGCCGAAUGCUGCAGGAGAGCGAGGAGCAGCCGGUGGAGGUGGAAGUGUGCGACAGCGAAAUGAGCCCCACCACGACGUUUCCCGGGGAAGAUUUAGAAGCCACCGAGAUUCAUCUGGACGAGCUGUUUGAAGACUUAAAAUGGACACUAGACCGAGACGCCAGCUCCCCUCUGUUCGACCUGGAGCUGGAAGAGUUCGAAAUCUUUGGCACAGAGCAAGAUUCCGGACGGGAAGUUUCAUCGGCUUCAUCUCCUGAAAGAAGAGGGACGGAUUUGAAGAUGAGGAAGAGCAACCAAGUCCACGGGUUAAACAAAAACGCAAUCGCCGCCAGGUUGAAUCGGAUAAAGAAGAAAGAAUACCUGAGCAGUUUGGAGCGGAAAGUUACGGGACUGUCUUCUGAAAAUUCCGCUUUAAAACAAGAGAAUUCCGCGCUGACGAAGAGAGUGGAGGAGCUGGAGAAUGAGACCAGGUACCUGCGCGCCGUGCUGGCCAACGAGAGCACGCUGGCACAGCUCUUAGCCAGGCUCAGCGGUGUGAACGGGAUGAAAUUAUCUUCCUCGCUUUUCCAGGGAUCUGCCAACGACCCCAGCGACCACGACUACGCGCUGCCACGGAAACGGGCGCGGGUGGAGGAGAAGGGCGAUGCGGCGGCGGGCGGGGUGUGCCUACAUGUGGACAGGGACCAUGUGUCUGUGGAAUUCUGCCCCAAGUGUUCAGAGAGCGCCAGCACGGCACUCAAAAUUUUCUUCUAGGUUUUGGUUGAUGGCGCAGCGAGAUGAGCCAGUCUGAUCACCUUUUCCUGCCUGAGUCCAUGGUAAGGAUCGGACUGAAGACUCUUAUUUUGAAAGAGACAGGAAGUUAAGCAGUGAGCUGUAGUCACUGAAGAUCACACAGCUAUUGUUAAUGCCUUGAAUGCCUUUGCUUUAACUGAAGUUAGUUUAGCCAGUUUAAAUUGUAUAAAUUGUGGUGAAGAUCCACAAAGAGUAAAUAAAACAAAAAAACGUAAAAAGCCCAUAUUAGUUUUCUGCUCGGUAAUGUUUCCGCAUCACAAACACCCAAACAGACCUUGAGUUGUGUUUCGUUUCAUUCACACAUGUUUAACACACUUAUUUGGAGCUUUGGAGAAGUGGACAGAUUAAUAAUAAAGUGUUACUCAAACAUGUAAAGGAAACAAAACAAAACUCCUGUUGUGUUUUUGAGGAGGAAACAGAUUGCCUAAAGCUCACAAGUUUGGGGAGGUUUUGCGAGUUGCAUCUCUUUGUGAAUCAGCACCAGUUAAAGAGAGAACCCAUUUGAUUUAGCGCCCCCUAUCUUUCUUUAUGCUAAAGUGGGAGCAGAUGGAGCAGCCUGUGGAGCAUCGCCCGUGGCCUGAGUAUUUGUUUAAGCAAGCUCUGCUCCCAUUACGGUCUAAAAAUCCUCAACUUUUGGGUCAAGUCUGGUAAAGGUUCAAAGUAAAAGUCCAUUUAAAGUGAAAGUGCACAGAGGAGAGGAGACGGAAUGAAUCCGCUCUGGAUCAUUGUUCAGAUAUGGAGCUCAACAGCCUCGUCCCCUUCCAAGUCCACUCUGGUUCUGGAACUAAAUUUGACAUACAUUUUUCUCAUAGACUUGGAAAAAAAAAAGAAAAAAUCUAAAAUGAAGAGUACAAAGUUAUUGCACAGGCUAAUCCACCUUGUGCUUACUAAUGUCUGUAAGGUAGAGAUGCGCGGAUGGGCUAUUUUUUCAUCCGCAACCGCAACAUAAAACUCAUCAUCCGCCCGCUGUCCAUUUUGCACCGAAGGUUUUCAAAACCGCAUCCGCCGACUGAUUUUAGGUUUUAGAACAAUCAUACAGCAAACAAACUAAGGAGCCUCGAUAAAAAUGCAAACUCUACAGCUCAUUCAUUCCAAAAUUGGCUCAGCGUGCAUGUUCACAUUCUUAAUUGUCCGUAACAACUCCAAACUUACCUGGUUUUCUUUCGCAGCUAAUUAAUUGACAACGUUUUUCAACUAGGCUAUUUUUGAACCUUCUUGCCUUCGUGUUGGAUGUUGUUACAUUCUGAACAUUCUGCCAUUGCCCGAUGUUAUUUCAAAGUCAUAGCCUCACUCCAUCGGUCUUUAAGUUUUAAAAACCCUGAGUGUCAGUCUACGCUAUAAUGUCUGCGUGUUUUAAAAUAUAACUGAUAUCGAAACAAAAUAGACAGAUCAUCUCAUCCAGAUGAACCUUUAUUGAAAUCAGGCAAUGCCCUCUUUAUAUUCCAAGUGAAAUAGACAAGAAAACAUAUGCAUAACUAAAUAAAUCUGGCCCUAUAGCCACUUACGUGUUGGCAAACAGCUGAAAUAAAUUAGAAAUAAUAAAAUCAACUGCAUAUAAUAUGUGCUUCGUAAACCUUAGGCAUCAAUAACCCGACACAACCUUAACCUUCAGAACAUAAAAACGGGUCAAAUGGGCUAAUUAAGGACAUGACGUACACUUCAUACUACAAACACAGACAAUGACACUCGUCUUUUCACAUGUACAUAACUAACAAUAACUUUUUUUUUGUAGUAGUUAAACUGCCACCCGCCCGAAUUUAAUUAAAAUAUAAUUUUUCGUCACGUCAUCCGCCCGACCCGCGGAUUAACCGCGGAUACCGCGGUUGCAACCGCAAUCCGCGCCUCUCUACUGUAAGGCGGUUGUUUUAAAGGUGCACUGUACAACUUUUCUGGUGGAGUCUUUGUCUCUAGGCAGAUCUGGGUGGAGUGACGAUUUUCCUUUGGCUGUAAUAUUCCACAGUAUGGCAUUAAAUGUAUACAGCAUAUAUUCAGUUACAGGUGUUUUUAGAACUUGCACAUGUUGCAGUGAGCAGGUUUACCUCAUGUUUAUAAAAACAGAUUUGAAUAAA